rnacentral:rRNA from 1 species
CGGGACGGGUGAGUAAUGCUUGGGAAUCUAGCUUAUGGAGGGGGAUAACUACGGGAAACUGUAGCUAAUACCGCGUAGUAUCGGAAGAUGAAAGUGUGGGACCUUCGGGCCACGUGCCAUAGGAUGAGCCCAAGUGGGAUUAGGUAGUUGGUGAGGUAAAGGCUCACCAAGCCGACGAUCUCUAGCUGGUCUGAGAGGAUGACCAGCCACACUGGGGCUGAGACACGGCCCAG